GUACCCGCUGAACUUAAGCAUAUCAAUAAGCGGAGGAAAAGAAACCAACAGGGAUUGCCUCAGUAACGGCGAGUGAAGCGGCAACAGCUCAAAUUUUAAAGCUGGCGUCCUCGACGCCCGCGUUGUAAUUUGGAGAGGCAUCUUCGGUUUGGGCGCCAGCCUAUGUUCCUUGGAACAGGACGUCACAGAGGGUGAGAAUCCCGUGCUUGGCUGGCUGUCCCUCUCCAUGUGAAGUGUCUUCGACGAGUCGAGUUGUUUGGGAAUGCAGCUCAAAAUGGGUGGUAAAUUUCAUCUAAAGCUAAAUAUUGGCGGGAGACCGAUAGCGCACAAGUAGAGUGAUCGAAAGAUGAAAAGCACUUUGAAAAUAGAGUUAAAAAGUACGUGAAAUUGUUGAAAGGGAAGCGCUUGAGACCAGACUCGGCCGGAGACGAUCAGCGGUCCUUCUGGGCCGUGCACUCGUCCUCGGUUGGGCCAGCAUCGGUUGAGACGGUGGGAUAAAGGUCCGGGGAAUGUGGCUCCUUUCGGGGAGUGUUAUAGCCCCGGGCGCAAUGCCGCCAGUCUCGACCGAGGACCGCGCUCUUUUGCUAGGAUGCUGGCGUAAUGGUCUUCAGCGACCCGUCUUGAAACACGGACCAAGGAGUCUAACAUCUAUGCGAGUGUUUGGGUGUCAAACCCUUGCGCGUAAUGAAAGUGAACGUGGGUGGGAACCUCUCGUAAGGGGGGCGCACCAUCGACCGAUCCUGAUGUCUUCGGAUGGAUUUGAGUAGGAGCAUAGCUGUUGGGACCCGAAAGAUGGUGAACUAUGCCUGAAUAGGGUGAAGCCAGAGGAAACUCUGGUGGAGGCUCGCAGCGGUUCUGACGUGCAAAUCGAUCGUCAAAUUUGGGUAUAGGGGCGAAAGACUAAUCGAACCAUCUAGUAGCUGGUUCCUGCCGAA
rnacentral:rRNA from 1 species